ACCCGCUGAACUUAAGCAUAUCAAUAAGCGGAGGAAAAGAAACUAACAAGGAUUCCCCUAGUAACUGCGAGUGAAGAGGGAAAGCUCAAAUUUAAAAUCUGGCAGCUCCGCUGUCCGAGU
rnacentral:rRNA from 1 species